GGUACAAGAAAAAUAUUAUACGACUUACUGUGUACAAAAUAACAAAUGCCACAAAAAUACUUUAACACUAUAAAUAAGAAAAGUAAAACAACAAGAAAUCCGAAUAACUACAAUUAUAUUAUGUACCUCACCAUAUUAUCUAUAUUAUAUUAUGCUUAAAAAAUAAUAACUUUCAAUGCUUAUACAAUGAUGAUGUACAUCUAAAGGCAGGUACAUUAAAGUAUUUCAUAGGUGUUGUAUAAAAAAAAAUUAUUAUCUAUACACGUCUACCAAUGUUAAUGUAUUGAAAAAAAUAUCGUAGACAAGCUUUAUUAUUGACGGCACAAAAUGUACUUAUUUAUUGUUUUCUUACAAAGGAUAUAACAAAUUUUCGUUCUGUACAACCAAAUUUGCGCUGUUAGUUUUUAUAGUUUUUAGAGUGAAUCGACUUACUUUUUUCGACAUUUUAAUUUUCAAGCGAAAUAUGAGUAGACGUGAAAUAUCAGCAAUUUAAAAAUUAAAAUACUCAAAUACCUUUACAUAGAGGUAAAUACACCCAUUUCUAUCUUUCUAAUGGGCAAAAUAGAAAAAAUGUGUUUACAUAAAACAGACGAAAAAGCCUUUACAAUCGGUUUUAGAGACAAAAACAUCAAUUCCAAAAUGUGUGGAUGACAACAUUUUGAGAACAACCUCGUCAGCGUUUUGCAAUAUUUUUAAAACAUUCAAACUUAUUAUUGAAGGUACAAAAAAUUGUAUUUUAUAUAGUUUUUACAAAAAAUGUUUUAGGAGCGGCCUUUUUAGUUGGAUAAUAGGUAAAUUUUCAUUUCAAUAGUAAAACAUACAGUACAAAAUUGGAUCUGUCGAACGUUAAUUUGGUUUGUCGUUUGUGUCGUGCGUCUGUUUAAGACAGAGGCAACAAAUGAUGGCGUGAUUACAACUCUUAAUAUUAUAGUAUAAAUCGUUCGAUAAAAUAUUAUUCCAGGGCAAUAAUAUUUAAUUAUUAAAUAUUACCGAUAUUAUUGCAAUACUAUUGUAUAAUAAUUUACACCGACUGCGAUAUAAUAUUGUGUAUAAAUUUAACACAAUAUUUUAUACAAGUAUAUGAUUAUGUUAUAAUUAUUACAUGUAUAAUAUUAAAUAAGUUCCUAAGAAUUUAUUUUCUAAAACAAUGAAUUUUACGAUAAUAUUGAUAGAACAUUGCAGAAAAAAUAUAUAAAAA